GGUUCCAGAUUUCUUUCCUAGGGUUUCUAUCUCCAGCGUUGCCUCACUUUGGGUUUUCUUUAUUGUGUCUACUUCCCUUUUUAGAUCUAGUGUGGUUUUGUUCAUUUCCAUCAUCUGUUUGGAUGUGUUUUCCUGUUUUUCUAUAAGGACUUCUACCUGUUUGGUUGUGUUUUCCUGUUUUUCUUUAAGGACUUGUAACUCUUUAGCAGUGUUCUCCUGUAUUUCUUUAAGUGUGUUAGGGUGCCCUGGACUGUGCGAAGUGGGUGUUCUGGGUUCUGAUGAUGAUGGAGCUGAGAAGGGUGUAGGGACAGGACACACCUGGCAGGACUGAGAAGUGAAUGUUAUUGAGGUUCAUGAUGCAAAAUUCUCAAAUAACCAGUAAAAAUGAGAUUACAUCCGGCUGUAGAAGAUCUACAAGAAGAAGGUAGAGGGAGAGCAGCCUUUGGAUAUCUGCUAUAUUCCAGAAACUGUGACUCAUUUCCCUGCCAACAUGAUGACCACCACUGCUGACCACAUCCUUCCAGAUGAGGCCGUCACAGAGCUGAUGCCAAGAUAUGCUUGCAGACAGUAGCCUGGUAUGGCUGUCUUCCGAGAGGCUCUGCCAGCACGUGACUAAUACAGAUGCAGACACUCAAAGCCUGAGGACCGCAAUGGAUAAGUUAGGGGAAUGGAUGAAGGAGCUGAAGGGGAUUGCAACGCCAUAGGAAGAACAACAGCUUCAAUUAACAGAACACCUCAGAGCUCCCAGGUGCAGCAACAACACUGGAAGGCUUUCUUCAAGGAGACAGCAGUGAUGUAAGGCCAACAAUAAUACUGAGCCACCUACUGGAACAUGCUUCAUGAAAAUUGAAGCUCAGUACCUGUUUGCAUGCCAUGUGUGUGCACGCCAGAUUCCAGAUUCCAGAUGCAGAUUGUUGACAGGAGACUGAUGUCCUACUGCUAGAUUGCUCAUCCUCAGGUAGCUGGGUGGAAGUGAAAAAUGUUUCACCUCAAAACCAGAUGUUCACAAACAUCUGGAUGUGUAGUGUUUUAGAGUCUAAACAGCUGUUUUGAUAAAGCUGUCUUUCCUUUCCACCUGC